rnacentral:rRNA from 1 species
UACGUAGGGUGCGAGCGUGUCCGGAAUUAUUGGGCGUAAAGGGCUCGUAGGCGGUCUGUCGCGUCGGGGAGUGAAAACUCAGGGCUUAACCCUGAGCCUGCUUCCGAUACGGGGCAGACUAGAGGUAUGCAGGGGAGAACGGAAUUCCUGGUGUAGCGGUGGAAUGCGCAGAUAUCAGGAGGAACACCGGUGGCGAAGGCGGCUCACUGGCCCGGUACUGACGCUGAUGUGCGAAAGCGUGGGGAGCAAACAGG